GUAUGUAUGGAGUGGCAGUGUCAUAGCCCAUGAGGUUUAUCUGAGGUGUGAUUGUUGCUAGUUGAAAAUGUUACUCUAUAUUCUGCCUUAGUGACUGGAAAUAUAGUCAGCUUUUGGCAAUUGUCGAUAGUCUCCAUUGAGA